UACGUAGGGAGCGAGCGUUGUUCGGAAUUACUGGGCGUAAAGGGAGCGCAGGCGGACAGGUCAGUCUAAAGUGGAAUCCCGGGGCUCAACCUCGGAACUGCUUCGGAUACUGCCUGUCUUGAGUUCGUGAGAGGAAAGCGGAAUUCAGGGUGUAGCGGUGAAAUGCUUAGAUAUCCUGAGGAACACCGAUGGCGAAAGCAGCUUUCUGGCGCGAUACUGACGCUGAGGCUCGAAAGCGUGGGGAGCGAACGGG
rnacentral:rRNA from 1 species